GAGCCAUUAGCUCAGUAGGUAGAGCACCUGACUUUUAAUCAGGGUGUCGCUGGUUCGAGUCCAGCAUGGCUCA
rfam:Carboxydocella sporoproducens DSM 16521 genome assembly, contig: BR84DRAFT_scaffold00079.79